rnacentral:rRNA from 1 species
UACGGGGGGGGCAAGCGUUGUUCGGAAUUACUGGGCGUAAAGGGCUCGUAGGUGGCCAACUAAGUCAUACGUGAAAUCCCUCGGCUUAACCGGGGAACUGCGUCUGAUACUGGAUGGCUUGAGGUCGGGAGAGGGAUGCGGAAUUCCAGGUGUAGCGGUGAAAUGCGUAGAUAUCUGGAGGAACACCGGUGGCGAAGGCGGCAUCCUGGACCAAUUCUGACACUGAGGAGCGAAAGCCAGGGGAGCAAACGGG